rnacentral:rRNA from 1 species
UACAGAGGGUGCGAGCGUUGUCCGGAAUCACUGGGCGUAAAGGGCGCGUAGGUGGCCCGACCAGUCCGUGGUGAAAGCUCGACGCUCAACGUCGAGUCGGCCAUGGAUACUGUUGGGCUGGAGCACUGUAGAGGCUCAUGGAAUUCCGGGUGUAGCGGUGGAAUGCGUAGAUAUUCGGAAGAACACCAGUGGCGAAGGCGACUCACUGGCCCGUUACUGACGCUGAGGCGCGAAAGCGUGGGGAGCAAACAGG